UACGGAGGGGGUUAGCGUUGUUCGGAAUGACUGGGCGUAAAGCGCGCGUAGGCGGAUCAUCAAGUCGGGGGUGAAAUCCCGGGGCUCAACCCCGGAAUGGCCUUCGAGACUGGUGGUCUUGAGUUCGAGAGAGGUGAGUGGAAUUCCGAGUGUAGAGGUGAAAUUCGUAGAAAUUCGGAGGAACACCAGUGGCGAAGGCGGCUCACUGGCUCGACACUGACGCUGAGGUGCGAAAGCGUGGGGAGCAAACAGG
rnacentral:rRNA from 1 species